ensembl:lncRNA
ACAGUGAAGGUCUUCGUUGCCUGGCGACGAGUCCCGGCGGCUUAGCGGAGAGGGGGGACCUCUGUGAUGGGCGUCGGUGUUGGGUUCUCGCCUGUGUUCUCUGGGGGAUCCACGGUAUAGUCCCACCAUCUAGGACAGGGCAGGGGCAAUCCAGCCUGAGGAAACGUCAGGGGAAGGCCCAGGGAUCCACCGCGAAAUCCCUAACCAUCCAAAAGGAUCCGCGCCAUGCGUCAAGCCUGCCUGGACCCAGUGGGGGAGAAAAUCAACUUCCUGUUUGGAUACCUACUAGACAUUUAAAGUUCUACAAUGAACCCAUCGGAGAUGCAAAGAGAAUCGCCUCUGCGGAGACAGAAAACCCACAAUCGAGCAUCAUCAACUUGCCAGAUAAACAAAAUGGUGAUAUCAGAAGAACAGAUAAAGUUGCCAUCCACCGAGAAAGCAGAGCCGCCGACCUGGGCCCAAUUAAAGAAGCUGACACAGUUAGCUGAAAAAAGCCUGAAGAACACAAGGGUAAAAUGAACUCCAGAGAAUAUGCUGUCUGCAGCCUUGAUGAUUGUAUCAAUGGUGUCUACAGGUGUAUCCAGCAGCUCCGAAGAGACAGUGACCAGUGAGAACGGGCCAUGAUGACGAUGGCGGUUUUGUCAAAAAGAAAAGGGGGAUAUGUAGGGAAAAGAAAGAGAGAUCAGACUGCCACUGUGUCUAUGUAGAAAAGGAAGACAAGAAACUUCAUUUUGACCUGUACCUUGAACAAUUGCUUUGCCCUGAGAUGCUGUUAAUCUGUAACUUUAGCCCCAACUUUGAGCUCACAGAAACAUGUAUUGUGUGGAAUCAAGGUUUAAGGGAUCUGGGGCUAUGCAAGAUGUGCUUUGUUAACAAAAUGUCUACAGGCAGUAUGCUUGGUAAAAGUCAUCUCCAUUCUCCAUUCUCAAUAAACCAGGGGCACAAUGCACUGCGGAAAGCCACAGGGACCUCUGCCCUGGAAAGCCAGGUAUUGUCCAAGGUUUCUCCCCAUGUGAUAGCCUGCGAUAAGGCCUUGUGGGAUGGGAAAGACCUGACCGGCCCCCAGUCUGACAUCCGUGAAGGGUCUGUGCUGAGGAGGAUUAGUAAAAGAGGAAGGCCUCUUGCAGUUGAGAUAAGAGUAAGGCCUCUGUCUUCUGCCUGCUCCUGGGAAUGGAAUGUCUCGGUAUAAAACCCGAUUGUACAUUUGUUCAGUUCUGAGAUAGGAGAAAAACUGCCUUGUGGCAGGAAGCGAGACAUGUUGGCAGCAAUGCUGCUUUGUUACUCUUUACUCCACUGAGAUGUUUGGGUGGAGAAAAGCACAAAUCUGGCCUACGAGCACAUCUAGGCAUAGUUCCUUCCCUUGAACUUAUUUGUGACACAGAUUCCUUUGCUCACAUGUUUUCUUGCUGACCUUCUCCCCACUAUCACCCUGCUCUCCUGCUGCAUUUCCCUUGCUGAGAUAGUGGAAAUAAUAAUAAAUACUGAGGGAACUCAGAGACCAGUGAUGGUGCAGGUCCUCAAUAUGCUGAGCACAAGUCCCCUGGGUCCCCUGUUCUUUCUCUAUA